rnacentral:pre_miRNA from 1 species
AGAGUUAGGGCCUGUUCCAAAGCCCUUUGCAGUCGUUGGGAGUCUUUCCAGUGACUUAAAUGGGCUUUGGAUCAGACUUAUAGGUU